CAGCAGCCACGGUAAUACGAAGGGGGCUAGCGUUGUUCGGAAUUACUGGGCGUAAAGCGCACGUAGGCGGACAUUUAAGUCAGGGGUGAAAUCCCGGGGCUCAACCCCGGAACUGCCUUUGAUACUGGGUGUCUAGAGUAUGGAAGAGGUGAGUGGAAUUCCGAGUGUAGAGGUGAAAUUCGUAGAUAUUCGGAGGAACACCAGUGGCGAAGGCGGCUCACUGGUCCAUUACUGACGCUGAGGUGCGAAAGCGUGGGGAGCAAACAGGAUUAGAUACCCGAGUAGUCCCUGUCUCUUAUAC
rnacentral:rRNA from 1 species